rnacentral:rRNA from 1 species
GACGAACGCUGGCGGCGUGCUUAACACAUGCAAGUCGAACGGAAAGGCCCUGCUUUUGUGGGGUUCUAGUGUGGCGCACGGGUGAGAAACACGUGUGUAACCUGCCCUUGUCUUUGGGAUAACUUCAGGAAACUGGGGAUAAUACCGGAUAGGAGCUUUUGAUGCAGGUGGUGGGUUGGUAAGUUUCGGGGGUUGGGGAUGGACUCGCGGCUUACCAGCUGGUUGGUGGGGUAGGGGCUUACCAAGCGUUUGACGGCUAGCCGGCCUGGGAGGGUGACCGGCCACAUGGGGACUGAGAUAGGGCCCAGACUCCUACGGGAGGCAGCGGUGGGGAAUAUGGCACAAUGGGCGGAAGCCUGAUGCAGCAACGCCGCGUGCGGAAUGACGGCUUUCGGGUGGAAAACCGCUUUCGCCUGUAACGAAGCGUGAGUGACGGUAACUAGUAAAGAAGCACCGGCUAACUACGUG